rnacentral:rRNA from 1 species
UACGAGUGCCCCGAGCGUUAUCCGGAAUCAUUGGGCGUAAAGGGUGCGUAGGCGGGUCUUUAAGUCAGGGGUGAAAUCCUGGAGCUCAACUCCAGAACUGCCUUUGAUACUGAAGAUCUUGAGUUCGGGAGAGGUGAGUGGAACUGCGAGUGUAGAGGUGAAAUUCGUAGAUAUUGGGAAGAACACCAGUGGCGAAGGCGGCUAACUGGUCCAGAUCUGACGCUGAGGUGCGAAAGCGUGGGGAGCAAACAGG